rnacentral:rRNA from 1 species
UAAUACGGAAGGGGCAAGCGUUGUUCGGAAUCAUUGGGCGUAAAGGGCGCGUAGGUGGUCUUGUAUGUCUUCCGUGAAAGCCCACAGCUCAACUGUGGUGUGUCGGGAGAAACUGCAGGACUUGAGGCUGGGAGGGGCUGGUGGAAUUCCCUGUGUAGCGGUGAAAUGCGUAGAGAUGGGGGAGAACACUCGUGGCGAAGGCGGCCAGCUAGACCAGUUCUGACACUGAGGCGCGAUAGCGUGGGGAGCAAACAGGAUUAGAUACCCUGGUAGUCCACGCUGUAAACGAUGGGCACUAGGUGCCGGCGGUCUUGAUCCCGUCGGUGCCGGCGCUAACGCAGUAAGUGCCCCGCCUGGGGAGUACGGUCGCAAGGCUG